CGAGGGCGACAAGGACGCGGCGGCGGCUCUGGCCGCCUCCUGGGACGUGGCGAGCCCUGGCUAGGCUUGGCAGGACUUCCAGGCACGACUCUGGGACGAGGCCAAGUUCAUCCCCAGGAAAAAUGCAAAGCUGAGGAAGCCCUCAGUGACAGACUUCAGCGUGAAACAGAAGUGGGAGAUCUACAGUGACAAUAAAGAAACUCAGAAAGAAGUUGAUUUUCAAAUGAAAACUCUCAUCGUAGAUGGAGAGCUAACAGCCCUGCAGCACUGGGAUAUGGCUGGGCAGGAGAG